UACAGAGGGUGCGAGCGUUGUCCGGAAUCACUGGGCGUAAAGGGCGCGUAGGUGGCCUGAUUAGUAGGGGGUGAAAUCUCGUGGCUCAACUGCGAGGCUGCCUCCUAAACUGUCAGGCUCGAGCAGAGUAGAGGCAGGUGGAAUUCCCGGUGUAGCGGUGGAAUGCGUAGAGAUCGGGAAGAACAUCGGUGGCGAAGGCGGCCUGCUGGGCUCUUGCUGACACUGAGGCGCGACAGCGUGGGGAGCAAACAGG
rnacentral:rRNA from 1 species